rfam:Triticum aestivum genome assembly, contig: Triticum_aestivum_CS42_TGACv1_scaffold_177923_2DS
GAUCUAUUCCCUCUGUUCCGAAUUACUUGUCAUAGAAAUAAAUGUAUCUAGACGUAUUUUAGUUCUAAAUACAUUCAUUAACGAGACAAGUAAUUCCGAACGGAGGGAGUAUUUU